AGAAGCAAAUGAUCUCUUUAGCGGCGCUCCACUGUACAUUGUUGAAAUAUAUAUCUUGAAGACCAACAUCAUCGGAUGUUGGAUGGAUAUUUUACCCACGUCUUUAUUUAUAAGCACUCCAAUAUUGGACUCAAUGUCCCUGAGAGGAAGAAGGGGAUCGGUUGGUCCAGGCUGCUGAAUUUUUCAUGAGACGCUGAAAAGACCUGUGCCUUUAAGACCCCACCCUUCUGGCCCCACCAAACAGGUGAACACUGGCAUGAUGUUUCCUCUGCUGCUUUGCUUUGGACGCUUUUGAACACAAACUAACACUUUUUUAAGACCAACAUUGUCGUCUUAAGUUCCCAAUGACAGUAUAUUAUACAAAAUACACAUUAGAUAGUAAUUCUAACAAGGCAAUCCUAAUCCAACAGUCCAGGAAAAGUAAGUUAGCACAGCAAAAACAACACUUUCCACACCUGUUUAAGUGUAAUUUAUGUUCACAAUAUAUUUGUAUUUUAAAUAUGAGUAUACUGUUGCCUCGAGAGGUCAUAUAUGUCCAUUUUGACAUGUACUUUGUUGUCUCUUUAGUGCACCUAAAAUGGUGGUUUUGAGGAGUGUAUUAAGAAGGUAAGCUGUUUAUUGUCUAUUUUCCAACAAAAGUUAGAAAGUCAAACAUGAUUAGUCUGCAUCUCUCAUUUUUAUCCAUCUGUCUUAAAAAAAAAAUGAAAACAAAAACAUUUUCUUUGCUAUUUAAAUUUUAAUGACCAUAUUGAUAUU